CAGGGGAAGGUAGAAAGGACUCCUCUCACUAGUCAAGUGAAGCUGUACUUAGGAAAGGUCCAUAGCCGACGAAUCGGCAUAUGUAUCGAUCGAUCAACCAAACUCUGCAGAGGUUUGCACUAACCACAAGAUCACCAUCAUCGACGAAGGCCCUCGUCUAGGCUGAUUCCGGGCUGCCUUCCAACUAAACACGAUGCCACCCUACCACUCAGAACUGGGACCAUACCGGAGUACCACCGGUACGCUGAGACUGUGAGGCGUAGUACCGGGCCCCAAAGGUCACUACACUGUCUUAGAAGGGUGUGGGUCCUCAUGCCCGUACCUCCGUACACUAUCCGCUAACAACCUAGUAGUAGUGGCACCGCCCUAGCUGGUCGUACAUCCGUCUCCUCCCCAUAAGAGCGAGUGGGGUGCAAGGCUUCCUAAGACCCGGUCCACAGAACAUAUCAGUCCUUAGGGUGACCAAUCAGGACAUCUUCACGAGGGGCCAACCGAUGCCCCGCUCGACGGGACAUCCGGCUACCCCGUGCUAAACAGCACCUCCCAUCCCGGUGCUUCGUCCCACGAAGACACUCCACUCCGGGACCUCUCCCUGUCACAUGUACCCGCCACAGGUAUCUCUCAUGGAGAACGUCCAGGUAGCGUCCUCCGGCAAGACUUGUCCCAAGACUCGUCGUAGAUCCUGUUCGGUCGACUCGACCCUCACCACACACCCAAGACACACGCCAGGAUCUCCCCAAAUCCAUUAUCCAGUUAUUGGCACCACGUGCCUUAUCCACUCACAUCCAAUCUCCCACAUUGCAUCACAUCACAGAUAUAAUGCGUAGAAGCAGUAGCAAGUAGUAUGCAAGCAUCUAACCUAACAGCGGGUGUGCGAGGGUUAUAGGUUGCAACAAGGCAAUGGCUCACAAGCAUUUCUACCAUGCAACCUAUCUUAGUUCAUUUGCAUGAAAGUAAAGCACUAGCAUCUACAUUAUUACAUGCCUAAUAGGAUUCUACAAGGUUGGGUGGGACGUGGCACCUGUUGAAUGUCAUUUCCAAGAUCCACAGUGCACUUGUAGUUGUUCUCAUCCGAGAUCCUCCUUUCCGCAUGUCCUCCCUCCAACGGGUCCUGGUCCGAUCAAAGCUAACCCCAAAGCGACUACCUCGUAAGCGACAAACAAGGCGAAACAAUCAGACCACUAGACCUAGAAAGACUGCGAAAAGAGGCGACAGAACACUGAAGAACAACUACACUAAGAGAGCACCGAAAUGAUAACAGCUUGGCCCUCUCGGCGGAUGUCUGAUCCCUGGGCUAAAAGAAAUGGGAAUGGUUGUUCACUAAGUACAAGCUGGAGUCUUGGCCUAGCCAGUACUUCCCGGGUCGAUCAUGCCGACCUGUACGGCUCUAAUAGCAAAGGCGUAGACCCUAACUUAUUCUAAGUAAACACCACGACUUACGGUCUUCCAAUCCAAGUGUCAUAGAGAUCAACGGGAACCGAAAAGACUACGAGCACGAGAAGUUCCAGUCUCUCUUAACUCGUACGCCAUUAUAGUUGGCGAGAGCCAAGAGAGGGUGGAACAAAGAGAGAAGAAAAAGGGAAGUGGUCUACUCCUUCCAAUCCACUCACCAUGGUAAGAGACGGGGAAUCAGAAAGAGUGACACACAAGAACACGAGUGCUUAAACUACUUGUAGGGUACGACGACCUGGGUGCACUAAAGGCACUAAGACAUCACUAAGGUUCUUAGCGGUGCGGUUGUCACCACGAGAACCAAAGAAAUGCUACGGUCGAAUAAGUACAAGCAUACAAGAGUUUAAGUACGAAGAACCAAAAUGGUGGGAAAGACACGGGAUUCACCUUCCUUUGCUCCACUCGCCAUAGCAACGGCGGGAAUCGUAGAAAUGGGAUCAAAACACCAAGCAAGCAAAAAGAGCAAACCCACAUCUUACUGGAUCGACCGGGAUUGAGAACAACAGAGAAGAAGAAUGGAGUUCAUACUCUUUCGACCAACUCAUCAUGGAACGAACGACGGUUGGAUAAAAGAGAUUCAACUCCACAAUCUAUUCCAACUUAUAACACUUCACGAUCUAGGUGCUUCUGAAUCGGCACAAGGUCAUUCCUACAGUUCCAGGCGAUGCGGUUGUCACCGCGGGAACUAGGGAAAUGCCCGGGUCUAGGUGGCAUAAGCAUACGAGACAGAUAAGAUAAACAUGUGAGAAAAAUAGGAUAGGCUCAAUGGCCAUGGCGAGGUGACUCGCGACCAUGAGCUUCACCUAACGAGUUGGCUUCCGACUGUUCCACAUAGGUUGUCCCCUAAUUCUUAUCCCACUAGACUAGGCCACAUAGGUCUCGAGUGUGCGGGUAAGAACCGCGUCGAUGACGACAACGAGUCCACGAUGGCCAUGCCCGAGGGACGGGAAUAGGAGCUAACAAGCGUAGCGUGACGAAGUCAACUAAACACGGGGAAACGAGUGACGCUCGACAUCGCGAUCACGGCGGGACGAACCCACGAUCGAAAUGGUCGAACGCACUACCAUUUCCCUAACCGGCUCGAAGGCACGGUCCAAUGACAAAUAACACAAGAUCAACGACAACACGAGAGAAGGGACAUGCUUGGCAUUACGGCCAUGGCGAGACAAACUCGCGAUCGCAACGUCCAAACACAUCACUCUCUCAACCGGCUCGACGGCACGGUCCACAGACAACGACAAACACACAAAGAAUCACGACUCGAUUUAUUAAUACACAAAGGCACUAUGACAACCCAGAGUAGCACAUUUCCAAUAGCACAAGAUAGAGAGAUGGAUAAAUAAAUAGACCGGCAUGAAGGCACGGCUCAGGCAUGGAUAUAGAUCAUGACAUGGAUAGAUCAUAUAUCGACAAGUAUAGAUAGAUGGAUAUAGACGAUAACUAACAAGUAUAUACAAAGAUACAAGAAUGAAGGGCAAGGGUUUUGCCGACGUCACGGAGGGCGUCAACUCAGUUCAAGGUUCAACCUUGGUGCGAAGGGGAAGCUGCUGUGGCUCGGCAGAGGUGGAGCUGGAGAAGUCUUGGGGGUUCGACGACGCUUCGCAGUUCAGCACUUCGACAUUAGCGGCACCUUAAGUUCAGCAGCUUUGGCAAGUGGUACAGCGUGGCUGCAGCAUCCCUGCAGCGGUGAAGGUUCACGGCACGAAGGCCGGUCUCAGCAAGGCGAAAUAGGAAGUUAACAAGUAGGGCACUUGCGCACUGGUGGCUUACCGGCGACAGAGACAGACUUGGCGAGGGCGCGUCGAGGCGAGGGCGAGGUAGCAGGGUGACCGUGGUCACCGCGUCCAGCGUUGCACGGCCAGGGUGACGACGUCGCGGCCCCAAGGGAGGCACAACAUCGACGUGGAUGCAGCAAGGCCAUGGCCUUGGGCUUGGGGGCGAGGCAUGGCGAGGAAGAGCUGGUGGCUCGGUAGGGGUCGGGGCAGAGCACGGCAUCGUCGUGGUGGCGCAGACCGGCAUCGGGGUCAGGGUCGUGGGUGCGUCGGGGCUCGACGUCGGCGCUCGGCAAGAGGGAGGACGUCGUUGUUCCGGGCAGCGGGCUCGACGUCGCCGGCCGAGGCCGUGGCGCAGGCGAAGUCGUGGUACUCGGGCUCGGCGGGGUCGCAGUUCGCGGAUAGAGUGGCGUCGCGGCAACCUAGGAGCCGCGCUCGGCUCGGCGUCGCGGUGGCUCGGCAGCGUUGUGGCGUCUGCGUGGCCGUCCGUGGUCGCGAGUCCGCGCGACGUCGCGGUCGCGGAGGACGCCAGGGCUUCGGUGGCAUGGCGAAGCUCCGAGGCGUGGUCGAGGCGCGAGCGAGGUCGUGGUCGCGGUUCUGCUGUGGCUCGGCGGCUCGGUCGACGGCGUGACGCUCGACGAGGCAAGCUCCAUGGCGGCACGGGAGCUCACGGGUGUGGCUCUGCCCACCCUAGGCGGCGGCAGCGGCGGCCUGGGAGAGCUAGGCGGCGGCGGCGGCUUGGGAAGGGAGGUGGAGAAGGGGACGACGGCGCUGUGGGGAAGGGAGUACGCGGCCGAGGCUUUUAUGGCGCGGCGAGCUAGGGUUCAGGGGUAGGGCGUCGAACCUCGGCGUCCGCGCCCACCUAGGGACGCGUGGAUCACAUCCAGCAGCGGCACGGGCGCCCAAGGCACGGGUGCGGCGCUCCCAGCAGGCGGGCGGCAGCUGCUCCUGGGAGGGAGCAGGGGCCCGCCUAGGGUUGGCCAGGGAGGGGUGUCGGCUGGGCCUAACAGGCCUCGACUUGGGCCGGGGGGGGAACUGGGCCUCGGUGAGCUGGGGGGGCAAGACGCGCUGCGGGCCGGGGCAGGUAGCUGGGCCGCGGGGGUUGCUUGGGCCGUGCAAGGUGGAGGGGGAAGCAGAUUGGCCAGGCGGGAAAAGGAGGGCGAGCUGGGCUGUAGUGUGAGAGAAGGGAAGAGGAGUUGGCCCACGAGAAGAAAAUGAUUUGCCACAUUUGAAUAAAGGGGAUUUGAGGACUUUGGAAUAGAUAUCAAGGGGUUUUAGGUGAAGAGGGAUUGUGAUGAGUUCAAAGAGGAUCAAAAGGAGUUUGAGACGUACUCCAAUGAAAAGGUUGAGAAGGGAUUCGCUUCGCCUUUGAGAUAGGCUCCACAGAGAUUUAGAAAGACUUUCCUACGGAUUUGUGUACUCCAAAAGAAACUUAAAACCCUAAACAAAACCCAACUUAAGAUGACUCGCGAACAAGAGCACUCGCCUACAAACAAAUCUACAUGUAUGCCACGAUUUCUUAGCGGGUUAGGAUUGAGUUAGACCUAAAAACUAUAUGCUUCACACGAUAACAGGAAAAUUUUUAAAAAGCUCGUAUUUUUUGUUUACGUAAAAAUCUGGGAUGUUACAAAGAGCACCUUAGUCUUAGCCUCAUCCAUGUGUAUUGUAUUUUUUGGUUGAGGCUAACAAGGCUCACAACCUACGUUGUUGGUGCCUUAAGGACUUCCCCAACGCAGGCAUACAUGAAUAGUGGUCUCAACAAAAAGAAUCAUACCAUAUAUGCACAAAGAGGUUGGGGUUGUUAAUCUCAUACUACAAAUAGUACUUCUCAUUUUGUCAAGUCAUAUAUCUUUUACUUUUGAAAUCUCAGUCAGCUUUUUGUCAGGUAGAUGUUCAUGAGGGCUAGCUAUAACGCAUAUGUUCACUUGUCUUAUAAGUCAUACGUUUUCUAUUAGCUAGUAAUAUUUUUUUUCAUAAUAAAUCAACAGAUAAUAAUUUUAAUCAUGACUUUUUAGACCAACUAGCUGUGAUUCGUGUGGGGAUGCCAUGCACCUCUGCGGGAGAAUGAGGCUACUAGCCACGGUGUAGCGACAGGGAAGGCCUAAGCUAUGCGUGAUGUGCGUGGGUGCAUCAGCGUCAGAAUCUGUUGGCGCACAGAUACCAGAAUCUGUCCGGUUCGAACCCCGGCGUCAGAAUCCAUUGGACGAGGAAAGGAUUCCAACGGCCACGGUGGGCCCGGUUGUCAGAUGGCCGGAGCGGCGGCGGUUUAAAGAUGCAAAACUCAUCGGCCUCGGCCGUCAACGUCUGCUCGAACACGACCGACGAGUCCACGAGGGAGUGGGUUGUGACUCGGACAACACCAAAACCUCCGCCCGCCAUGGCGUCGUCGCCGCCGUCACCGCCGCCGAAGCUGCCGAUCCCCGGCCGCCGCAACAUACUCAUCACCAGCGCCUUGCCCUAUGUGAACAACGUCCCGCACCUCGGGAACAUCAUCGGAUGUGAGCGUCCCUCCCUCCCUCCCUUCACCGCGCCGCCGCCCCGGCCGCCUUCCCCACUCCCCGAAAUUAUCCCUCGCCCUUCGCCGUUCGUCUCACGGGCGUUUAAUUCGGCUGUGCAGGCGUGCUGAGCGCCGACGUGUUCGCGCGCUACUGCAGGCUGCGCGGGUACAACGCGCUCUACAUAUGCGGGACGGACGAGUACGGGACGGCCACGGAGACCAAGGCCAUGGAGGAGAAGUGCUCGCCCAAGGAGAUUUGUGACAAGUGAGUCAGCAGGCCCUUGACCUCACCUCGAAUCGCUGCCUUUCAGUGCGGGCUGGCGGUACUUCCCUUCUAGUUGGAAAUUUGAUCAAUCGUUGUGUAAUUUUUGAGCAAGAUGAUUCGAUUUGGUGUUAUAUAGUUGUGCUCGAGCUGUCCGAUUUGGGGGGAUUUUGUACAUGGUGAACUUGAGGCGAGGUGAAUUGCCUGGGUAGUAGGGUAGGUGCUGCGUUCAAUACUAUAGUUAAGUUAAUUUUUUCAGCGUUUUGACGUUCCUCACUGCCUUGAGUGUGACUUACUGCGUUUACUUUCUUUCACUUAUUGAUCUUGAUUUCGGUUAGACUUUCUUAUUCCUAAAUCACAAUGAACAUGAGUGUCCAUGCUGCAAUAGUGAAUCAAGUGAUUUGGUUUUUGCAAUAGUUGACUGAUGACUUAAUCGUGAUCCUGCCAGUUCUGUGCAUUAUAUCUUCGUUGGCUAUAAUUUGAUUAGAACCACUGAUUUUUACUUUGUCUUUAUUGUACACAUGAAGCAUUCUGUUCAUAUGCUAGAUACAUUAAUGAAACACGGGCCUAUAUGUGCCUGAUCAAGAAAAAAAAAGAUGCAUGUAUUAAAAAAACACACUUUCUUCUUUCUUUCUUUUUUGAAACACUCCUAUGAACACACGAAUAUGGACCUUGGAGACACUAGGCUAAUUUCUUGGCGUUGACGAAAUCACCACAUGCAUCUACUAAUUAGUGGCAAAAAAACGUGAGCUCCCGUUUAAGGUUGCAGAGUUGAACCUCCCCCUUUUUUUUAACUGAACCUUCCACCACAAGGAACCUAACUAAUUGUAGUUGGGGAAACAAAGCUUUCUUCAUAUAAACCUUUCCUUGCUGAUGAAAACUGCAGGUACCAUGCUAUCCACAACGAGGUUUACAAGUGGUUUGACAUAAAAUUUGACAAAUUUGGGCGUACGUCCUCUCCUCAGCAGACAGAAAUCUGCCAAGCAAUUUUCCAUAAAUUGAUGGAAAACAAUUGGCUAACAGAAAACACCAUGCAGCAGGUACAGAUUGUUUGUGGUAUUGUACUUGUGUAUUCAGAUACAUAUGUAUAUCUGUUGUGCAAUAUUUUUUUCUUCUUUGCAGCUUUACUGUGAUACAUGUAGAAGGUUUUUGGCUGAUAGGCUUGUAGAAGGAACAUGCCCUAUAGAAGGGUGUACUAAUAAAGCUGCCAGAGGUGAUCAAUGUGACAAUUGCAGCCAUAUGUUGAAUCCAACUGAACUAAUUGAUCCAAAGUGUAAGGUAAGCAUAUCCAGUACUUAGUGUACACUGUCAUUUUUGUGUCUGUAUUUUUAUCAUUUGAUCGAAUUGUAUGACGACAUUAAAAUGUGAGCAAUGAAUAUCCUUUUGGUAUUGUGUUUUAUUUGUAGGUCUGUAAGAAUACUCCCCAUAUUCGUGAAACAGAUCACUUAUUCUUGGAUCUCCCUCUAUUAGAAGGCAAGUUGGUGAACUAUAUUAAUGAUACUUCAGUAGCUGGUAUGUGGAGUCAAAAUGCCAUUCAAGCUACAAAUGCAUGGUUAAAGGAAGGACUAAAGUCACGCUGUAUCACAAGAGAUCUUAAAUGGGGGGUUCCUGUUCCAAUUGAGAAGUAUAAAGAUAAGGUUCGGCCAUAUCACUUCUGAAGCGAGUCUACAGUUAUGAAUUUAUCUGAUUUCCCAUUUUGAUUAUUUUCAGGUUUUCUAUGUCUGGUUCGAUGCACCGAUUGGCUAUGUGUCCAUCACAGCAUCUUAUACACCUGAGUGGGAGCAGUGGUGGAAGAAUCCUGAUAAUGUGGAAUUAUUUCAGUUCAUGGGCAAAGAUAAUGUACCAUUUCAUACGGUAUGAUGUCUAAAAAAUGUGAACAUUUCCUUGAGUCAUUAGAGAUUGAUUUAUCAUCACUACAUGAUUAUGACCAAGUGGCAUUCUUGUGCUCUUUGUUGGAUACUGUUUCUAUAGCUCCAAGUUCUAUUUUAUUUGUAGGAAGUCACUACUCCUUGACAGCAAUACUUUCUAGGAACAGGAUACUUCCAUACUAUGUUUGUGGCACUUGUGAACUGUCAUUUCUUGCAAUCACUCCUUUUUUAUGAAGUUCUUAUUGAUUUGGAGGUGCUUUCAGAUCAUGUUUCCGUCAACACUACUAGGAACCGGUGAAAAUUGGACAAUGAUGAAGACCAUUAGUGUCACUGAAUAUCUGAACUAUGAAGGAGGUACAUGCUAUGGUUGCUACGUUUUCUAUUUGUUAUUUUCGGAUUAGUAUGCAGUUCAUUUUAUCAUGUGAGCUAUCAACAUUUGCUAAAAACAAGGCUUCUUUAAUUGAACUGGGUUCUGUCAAGUAUUGGAAGAUAUGUUUGGCCAUUUCCUCAAUGUUGAUCUUGCACUGCUUGAGAAUUAAUGAAUCAAAUUGUACAGUUCAUGCCAGUUGUUGUCUUCAGACAAGUUUAAUGAACUUCAAAUUUAUAUAUCAUGCAUGAUAAAAUAUGCUAUAUAAAUGGUUUCUCUUGAAUGUGUUCAGUAUAUUAGUGUUGCCUACAGUCUGCCAUUUCCUUUGAAUUUUUGUUUGUGCUUAAAAACAUUUUGCAGUGUGUACAUAUAUUUCCUACAAAUAACUAAAUACUCCUUGCUCCUGUAGGAAAAUUCUCCAAGAGUAAGGGUAUCGGAGUUUUUGGUAAUGAUGCCAAGGAUACGAAUAUUCCUCCUGAAGUGUGGCGAUACUACCUGCUUAUGAAUCGGCCUGAGGUUUCCAAAACUUGUCCAGUGAUAUUUGAUAUAUGACAUUUACGUAGUUUAACAAACACAUUUGAUCUGAUUUACAUAGGCAUCAGAUACACUUUUUACAUGGACUGAUUUGCAAGCCAAAUUGAACAGCGAGUUGUUAAACAACUUGGGAAACUUCAUCAAUCGUGUGCUCAGCUUUAUUGCAAAACCAGUGGGUUAGUCAGUCUUACAUCAAAUAUAAUACCAUCUGAUAAUUUUAUUUAUAUGUUAAUCAUCUGAUCAAUAACCGCUCCUCUUGCGUUACUCGCUUUUUUGAGAUUUCAUUUUGUUGCUAUUUCUGUAGGAGCUGGAUAUGAUUCAAUUAUACCCGACGCUCCUGGUGCUGAGUCACAUCCAUCGACAAGUGACAUUGCAGAAAAAGUCAGUAAAUCCGUUGAACAAUAUCUUGAUGCAAUGGAAAAGGUAAAUGACGCUCUCGUGCACUAUGUGAAGCGGAAGAACCCCAGCACGGCAUGCGCCAAGUCGGCUGCUAGUUUUUUUUAACAUUGUUUUGAUCUUCUUAUGACAGGUUAAGCUAAAACAAGGACUGAAGAGUGCAAUGGGCAUCUCUACUGAUGGAAAUCGCUAUUUGCAAGUAAUUCCUUUUUUCCUUUCUUUCAUUUACCUCAUUUUUCUGUAGUAAAUCUUAAUUUGUCUUUGCUUUGCUAAAAUUAAUGUAGGAAAGUGAAUUUUGGAAACUUUAUAAGGACAAUCCAGCAAACUGUGCGAUUGUGAUGAAAACUUCAGUUGGUCUUGUAUAUCUCCUUGCCUGUCUGUUGGAGCCUUUCAUGCCUUCCUUCUCAAAAGAAGUAUGGUCCUAAUUGUUAUUGAGUGUUGAGUUUCUUCGAAUAGCGUUCUCUUGCCCCCAAAUCUCACUAUGUGGUAUAUUCUAUAAGGUGCUACGUCAAUUAAACCUGUCCCCAGAAGAAACUCUUUCUUUCAGUGAAGAAAAGGGCGAAAGUGCGAAGGCAAAAACCCCUUGGGAUCUUGUACCAGCAGGGCACAAAAUAGGGAGGCCUGUACCUCUGUUUGAGGAAUUGGUGCGUCUUUCACUUAGAAUUUUCUUUUGUUUUCCAUAAGUUUACGCCCCAUAACUUGAACUCAGUGCAGAAAGAUGAAAAGGUGAGUAAGCAUAGGGAAACAUAUGCAGGCAGUCAAGCUGAGAGGAGGUCAAAAGCAGUGGCUGACGCUGAAGCCACAAAAAUUGCUAACCAGCUCAACAGCAUAGCAUUAUCUGGUAAAUGUUUAGACAAUUUGUUCUUCAAAUUUUGCUAGAAUCCCAGAACACAACGCAUAAUUGUCUUUUCUGCUGCACAUUUUGGAACAAAGAGAAAAUUUCAUGUUGGUCAACUUACGGAAACAGUUAUCUAGAGAUCAAGCACUUGUUCAGUUGGCAGGUGUGCUUUCAAGCACCAUGCUCACCUGGGCUCAAACCCGGAUGCCCACUGCUUCUUGAUCUGAGCUAGAGCUCCUAGUGUAAUUUUGGAAAAUAAUAACAGAAGUAGAGCAUGCAAGUGUCAGCUUCAUGGUAGAUUUCAACCUUUCUGUCCUGUUUGAAAUGCUAGGAGUCUUCUUUGAAUUAUUUUCUGCCAAUCUUUUUCAGAUUGCAGCAAGUAAUUGUCUAUGUUUUCUCAUUUUUAUUUUGCAGGAGGCUCAAAAAAGGAACAAAAGAAAAAGUCUGGUAACUCAAAAUCAAAGGUGGCAGAGGCAGAAAUAUCUGUUGCAAAGUUGGAGAUUCGAGUGGGGCUUAUCAGAAAAGCAGAGAAGCACCCAGAUGCUGAUUCGCUGUAUGUAGAGGAAAUCGAUGUUGGAGAGGAGGCUCCAAGAACGGUGGUUAGUGGCCUUGUCAAAUACAUUCCUCUUGAAGAAAUGCAGGUUGGUCUUUCCAGGCAUGAUUUGGGUUUUGCAGACAUUUCUUUGCGAUGCCUUGUUUGUUAUCACUGACUUGUGAUAUCUACUAUGAAUGUGCAGAACCGGAAAGUCUGUGUUCUCUGUAAUCUGAAACCAGUGGUGAUGCGUGGUAUAAAAUCACAUGCCAUGGUUUUGGCUGCUUCUAAUGAGGAUCAUACUAGGGUAAUGCAUCCAAUUUACUUACACAUUUGAUUAGAUUUACACUCUGAAACUAGAAGUGCACAUUUUCUGCCAAUCUAUCGUACUAGUGCUUAACAUGCGUAAUUUAGGUUGAGUUGGUUGAGCCACCAGCGGAUGCUGCCGUGGGGGAGAGGGUGACCUUUGCUGGGCACUCCGGUGAGCCUGAGGCUUCUCUCAGUGGCAAGAGCAAGGUGUGGGAGAAGCUAGCCGCUGACCUGCAUAGCAGCGGCGAGCUUGUGGCCUGCUACAAAGAUGUCCCUUUCAUGACUUCGGCUGGAGUGUGCAAGGUGAAGACAAUAGCAAAUGGGGAAAUCCGCUAGACGGCGAUGCCAAAAGGCAGCUUCGACCUAACUAUCUUCUGAUGUUAUUGAAAUACUAGCUGACUGCUUUUUGCUGUAAAUUUUCUCCUUGGGUUUGAAAUUUUUGUGUAUUGAUGAAAAAUGGCAAUAGAGAAAAUGACGGUGUUUAAUUAAUUUUCUGGUGGCCUAAAGGGCUGAGAGCCCGAGACUGAUUAGUGGACAUGGCUAACAGGUCUGAAAUGGAUAAAGUAAAAUUUGCCCCAAAUGGCAUAUGCCCUCACAACGUGGACCACGUGAUUCGCUUGGCACUAAGAUUCAUGUCUAGCAGAAGAUAAACAAUUGUGGUGAUUAAACUGCUCGAUGUUUUUAUUACAAUCACCGAAGUCAUUUUAAUGCGACAUACUCUAUGAAAAAAAAACAUUGAUCCGCCACUGCCAAUUACCAAACAAAGGUUGACUAGAAAAAAGAGAAAACAGUAGAGAUGGGCCGCCAUUGAAUGUAGGAGGCCGUCGUCGAGGAACCCUGCAAACUGAUAAGUUAGGCCUUGCAGGUUGGCAAUGGUAAUAAACUAAUAAUAGUACCGAUCCAAUCCGAGGCAUUUCGAUUGGGCCAUGGUUACCGGCUCGUGUAGCUUACAGUUUUUUUUUUUCUUUUAACCUUGACCAGAACGCGACAAAGCAAAAAAAAAAAAAGGAAUGUUAAUCAGGAACCUCCUCGUGCCAACAGCUCAUAUGUGUCUGUGUGCUUCUAACUGAUAGAGCCCCAACACCCUCCUGCACAGUGUAAAAGAGUGUAGCAUCGAUCAGCAGCAGGAGGAGGAGGAGCACAUGGUAGCUCAGGCGCCAUUGAAACAGCAGUAUCGUGAUCCAGGAGGCAUGUGCUGCGUCAUCGUGUGAGAAACUGAGAAUGAGAUCAAACCCCCCGGGAACGCACGAGGCUCGCUCAAUCAACCGCCCACCGCAUCGACGCACGGGGAUCGGGGCCGCCCGCACCUCAACGUGCGGUACUGCGGUGCGAGGCUGGGCUUCCUCGCUGUGGAGCGCGCGCGGGGGGGGACGCCCAGCCCAGUCCCAGACACGGAACAUGGCGAGCGGAGCAGGGGUUGGUUGGGUUGUACGGAGGUGCCGACCGCGGAGAUCAACAUGAGAAAAGCGUCCAGAGGAUGGCCAGAUGCCAUGCGCCCACUCCUGCUGGGCGCUGCCUGCCUGCUGCUGCGAUCCAAUCACCCCGUACCAUCUGCUGCUGCCCAACGUGGCAGACUGGCAGGCAGUGCGCCAGUGUCCGAUGCCCCGGGUCUCAGCUCCGUUAUGGCAGCAACCAGCAAGCCGUGUCGUGUUGCACGAAGGAGCUAUCGAACGGCUAAAGCAUCAGCAGCUACUCCCCCCUGGCCCGACCCUGCAACGGAUAAGCUGAGCGUGAACGCUGAACGGUUCCGGAGCGUACCGUGUUGUUUGGUACAUGUGCAGGUACAGCAGCAAGAAAAUGUCCGCUGAAGAUCCCGCGUGGCGUCGGCAAUGCCCGCACACGGCCCGUUGUCAGGUUUGCCGAUCCCCAAAGCCAAACGACAGCUAUCCUAUCUCGAGCGCGGCCAAGACGCCAAAGACUGCGGGCGCGCGCUGUGCUGGCCCCGACCAGGACGCCACGAAAGCGAAGGAAGGCCCCCUCGCAGCGGUUGGUGCCGAAGCAGCCAACACGGUGGUCGAUGGAUGGAUGGCACACAGACUCACCCAGACGAGACCCCGACCUCCUGGUCCUGCCUAGUGACCAGCUGACCUGUCUGUCCAUCUGUCUAUCCGUCCGACGUAAAAUUAACACCCACUUAUCGACCGCCUCCAGCUGAUCGCCGACGACCCCAUUCAGCUCCCCUCUCAUUUCGCCGUGGACGCCGCCGGCGAUAAGCUGCUGGGUUGGCUACUACCCUAGCUAGCCGCCGAACGGCUUCUCCACUCCACACGCCUUCUCGCCCCCGUCCCGUUCGUCCCAUCAGUUUCUCGCGGUCAGCUUCAGAAAUGAAAACUUCUCUUUCUCUCUGCUUUCCGUGACAGGGGUGAUCGCAACCCCGAUAGAUGCUCGGACGGCGAGGGGCCCCAUCCAAAUAUUCUCAUCCCCAGACCCCAGGCCAGGCGGCACAGAAUUUUUUUUCUCUCUCUCUCUCUCUCUCUCUCUUCUAACAGACGAGCACCGCGACGACGAGAUUAUCGGCUCAAUUAGAUGGCUAAACACGGCCUCAUCACGCCACAUGUUGGCGGCUCUUUAUUACGUAAAACACAAAGCUUUUUCUAGACGACGUCGCCGUCCAGGAGGCGAGAUGGAAUCUUGGCUGUUUAUUAAGUGGGGGCGGGGCUGUACAAAGACAAAAGGUGCUCCCGUGUCCAAUCACGGCCAAGACACAACUGCUUUUGUAAUGCAGGAACACUAGUAGUAGUAGUACAUGGCAUCGGUUUAAUCAGGGCCCUAUAUAUAAUCAUGUCAGGCUCAGGAAAGACCAUCAGCAAUGUCCUAAUCGAAAAAAAAAAUUAUAUGUCCUUGAGAUGAGAUUUCACAUGUGUAAGAAAUGUCAAAUCCCCAUGCAUGGCAACAUGUGCUUACUGCUUAGUUUAAUCGUAGCAAGCAGGGUGCCAUGCAUGGUUUACGAGUAUUUUUAUGGCAUGUACUAAGAGCGAGGGAUUAAGAUGCCUCGCUGUUCUAGGGCAAACCUGAUGGGAGGAUUAGACUUGAGAGUUGAGAGGGAUGCAUCAGCCUUGGAAACAGUAAAAAGUCACCGGUGAGAGCGAUAGCACAGAGGGAGUGGCGGUGGUGGCCAAAGACGCUUCUCUUUUGAGAGAGGAUUGGAUCAAGCAGAGAAAGAAAAAAAAAGCUUCUUUUUACCAGCGCACAUUUUUAUUCAGUGUUCAUCCAGACACUGUUGAGCAACAACUUUCAGUUCCUGUACUGCUCUAUCUCCACAAGCUGGCUUUUCCAGAUAUAUUCCACGAGAAGACCUUUCACCAGAAGUCCGAAAGCAAACCUCAGAGCGUGUAUGCAACAAGCCAAUCACAUAUCCGAUUAUCUCACACUCAUCCUCCUCUAAAUUCUAAAUUCUAAGGCCUUGUUUAGUUUGCAAAAAAAAUUAGUUCGAGACACUGUAGCAUUUUCGUUUGUUUGUGGCAAAUAUGUUCAAUUAUGGACUAACUAUGAUCAAAAGAUUUAUCUCGCGUUUUACAGGCAAACUGUAUAAUUAGUUUUGGUUUUUGACUAUAUUUAAUGCUUCAUGCAUGUGCCGCAAGAUUUGAUGUGACCGGAAAUUUUGAAAAGUUUUUGAUUUUUGGGGUGAACUAAACAAGGCCUAAACUGAAUUCACUGUGCCAAGAUCCUUAACCUUCAUAGAUCGGUGAACUUUGCCAUACAGCACUGUUUGAUCGUCAAAUUUGCUAGAGGACAUCCAUUUCUCCAUCGAUUGCGCUAUCAACACGCACCUAUAGAAUAUCUAACAAAUGGUUACCAGUAAUACGCAAGCUAGUGAGCUACGGAACAAGAAUGGCAAACAGAUUUGCCAUUGCCAGGGCCAACCGUUUCCUUCACUGAAAGCUACCCAUUUUUUGUGUAAUGAAUGUGAAAAGUUGCCACCACUCUUGUUCAGUUUCCUGUUUGUGCAUGUCUGAAAAAGAUGAAAGGGAACGAAAGUUGCAUCUGUCUCAUGUUUGUAUUGCACUAUCGCGCAAGUGGAAGACUUGUUUAGCAUGUUCUAAGCUUUCCAGGCGCACUGAUCUAUACUUAAUUUGGUGUUAACCAAAGUACUCUGUGUUUGUUCUGAAGCAGCACUACUGCAUGCCAUGUUUCGUUCACAGGCUACUAGCCAAUCAUUUAGGGACAUGUUACAUUUUUGUUUUAAACAAAGGAUUCAGUGGCAUGAUUGUUUAUACUACUAGAUGCUAUCUCUUGACUCGCAAUUGGAAGCUGAAUGUUAUAUAUAGGCUGCAUCUACUGCGACUGGCCACCUGCUGGUCAUGGUUUCUUUGUUUUCUACAGACCUCAACCUACAGAAUUCUUUUGGGCACUGUUACAUUCAUUAAUUCACUAGAAGUUUCAGCUUUAGAGCUUGUUUAGAUCUGAAAUUUUUUUCGAUUCUGACACUGUAAGACUUUCGUUUUUAUUUGACAAACAUUGUCCAAUCAUAAAGCAACUAGGAUUAAAAGAUUCGUUUCACGAUUUACAGACAAACUGUGUGCAAUUAGUUUUUGUUUUCAUCUAUAUUUAAUGCUUUAUGUAUGUGCCGCAAGAUUCGAUGUGACGAGAAUCUUGAAAAGUUUUUGGUUUUUGGGUUAGCUAAACAAGGCCUUACUCUGCAGAACUCACAGUUUAAUCAUGCGAAAACGCAUACAGUAAAUUUUAAAACUACAAUUGGUAACACUUGAUUUGACAUAGGCACUGUGCCAUAAAAAGAGUACUUGCCUCUAUGCACUUAUUUCUCCCACAACUCUAUUGAUCUUCUCCAACGCCACGAGUGAUUGGGAUUAACAAUAUUAAUUACUCAAUUUUACCCUACCAUGCAUGCAUACACUUUCUCCAUACAACAUAAUAAUAGCUAGGAAUUCACCAUUACAGGCUUACGUACAGCAAAGUUGCGAAAAGAAAUUUACGGCACGAUUGUUUGUUUGGCACAAGAUUUGAUUUGACGGUCGAUCCCCGCGGGAAGAUUGUCGUCUGCUAGUUCCACAUCCACCAGCUGAUCUGGCCGGCGUCCUCGUCGUCGUCCGCGUGGUGGUGGGUGUGUCCGGCGAAGAACGCGGCGGCUUCUUCUUCGGCGUAGUAGCUGCAUCCCUCGUCGCUGCCGGCGCCGUCGUCAUCCGACUGGAUCCCUCCUCCCGCGCCGUGGUUUACUGGACCCAUCCCGCAGUCGUGGUAGUGGUGGUCCUCGCCGCCGGGGAAGUAGGACUCCACGCUGCUAUCAACGGCCGCGGCGAACCGGCAACCGGCGCCGUACAACAGAGCGUCCGUGUCCACCACCGCGCUCCCGCCGCUGCCCGUGCUCAGCCUGUCCUCGGACUUCACCUGUUGCACCUCGAACGCCGCCUCCUCCUCCUCCGCCGCCGGCUCUGUUGGCUCCUCGACGUCAUCGGCCAAGGAAGCCUUGACGUCGUCCACCGCCGGCAACGCUGCCGCGGCGUCGGUGGCAGCGCUGGCGCCGCCCUCCGUCGCCUCCUUCUCUUGCAGCUUCUCGGUCAACGACACCACCUGAAUGAAACCACAGUACAGAUCGCCGAAACGUCCAUCAGUAACGUACUUGGAGACCGCCAUGGAAGAAAGCUCUGCUCGGUUGCUAAGGGCGGGGGCGGGCGGCCGGGAGGAUUACCUGUGAACGGAGGCGGUGGUUGUCCUGGAGGAUGACGUCGUGGUCCGCGCGGAGGGCGUCGAAGGAGGCCUUGAGGCGGUCGAAGUCGCGCUCGAGCUGCUUGGUCUUCCACCGGGCGCGGCGGUUCUGGAACCAGACGGCCACCUGGCGAGGCUGCAGGCCCAGCUUGCGCGCCAGCUCCGUCUUGCGCUCCGGCUCCAGCUUGUUCUCCUCCUCGAAGCUCCUCUCCAGCAGAUGCACCUGCACGUGCGCGCACCAUGCCCAUCCACGCGUCAGGGAAAGAACACGCCAUGCAUCUACACUACACGUGUUGCCUAGUAAGCCGCUAGGUGUGGCAAGAGCAGUUGACUAUACCUGCUCCGGUGUGAGGCGGCGCUUCUUCUCCGGCAGCUGCUCGUCGUAGUACUCCUCCUCGAGGAGCUCGUCGGGCGAGGUGAAGAAGGGCCGUUUUACGCCGCGCCCUUCUUCAAGGCCAAGCAUCGGUCUCCCGCCUUCAUCACUCCCACAUGGCAACCCCAAUCAGUACACAAGAAUAAUUCCAUGCCAAGAUCGAAAUCGAAGAAAGCACCAUGCAAACAAAGAGAUUUGGAUGGGACUAAUACCUCGAUGGAACAAGCCGCCGCCGCCGCCGCCGCCGGGACCACCGGCUGCGCCGCAGUCCAGGAAGAGCAUCUGCCCGGCGCCGGAGCCGGGCGCGUUGAAGAUGAGCCGUCCGGACUCCAUGGAUCAAUGCAAAGAUCGUCGAGGCAAAAGCUUGGAGAUUCUUUGCCCGAAUUAUUACUUAAUCGGGAGUGGAUCGAUGAAGACUAAUAAUAUUUAUAUGGGCGUCGACGUAUGUACAGAAGCUAGCGAGCUAGCUGCCGACGACGACGGUGAGGGGUGGGAUCUAUAAGAAGCAGGAGGAGGAGGCGAGCAUGGCGGCGAUCUUGUGGCGGAAGAAGCUGGUGCUCCACAGAAGCCUCGCCGGAGUCUCCAUCGGAAUCAACCAAAAUCCCAUCAUGCACGCCCCAGCCCCCGUGCGACCGCGGGAUCUCCUCAGCCGCGCGGAGGAGAUCGGCCGAGAGCACUCGCCGGAAACACCCUCUCGUCGACCGAGCGAGUCCCGGAGUGGGACAAUUCGGCUACGCUACGGCGGCCGGAUCGGAGGAGGUUGGUGGUGGACGACGGAGUCGCGAAAAGGAAAAACCUUUUUGUUCUAAUUUUUUAUAUAUAUCUCUAUAAGGAAAAUGCUUUAAUAUUCGCUAAUAUAUAUUUUUUGCUUUGGAGGGCUCUGGAACUAAAGUUUGAAGAAAUGGAGAGGGACCUUCUUAUAGGCGCCGGGGCAAGGUUGGUUGACGAUUUUGCCCCUUAGCUUGGUGGCAACGGUGGGUGGCCGGCGCGGGAGACGAACGGUGUUAACGGUAGGCCCCGCAGAGGAGAGGAUCUCUCAUCUCAAUCUCAUCUCAUCUUUUGCGCUGAAAGGUGAGAAACGUUUGCCCACUUGGGGACAAAGGCAUGGUCAGAACUCACUCAGGAUCUUCUGUCAAGGCAUGCUGAGGUCAGCAUGGAUUGAAAAAUUACUCUAUAUUUACUUUCAAACAGAAAAAAUAAUCCCACUAUGGUUUGAGUCGAAAGUAUACACGAACCAUGCACUGAUGCAAUGUUUGUUUGUAUUUAAGAGUUAUUAUGGGGAUGCUACUAUAAUAUUGUGUUCUUCUCUUCAACUCUACUAUGCACUUGAUUUUUUUUCCGUACCUCUCCCUCUUCGGCUGUCUAUAUUCUCUAAUUCUGCCUAAGGAGGACAUGUUUGGAAUCGCUUAAAAUUAGAUUUGUGACUGCCCUACUGCGAGAACCAGAGAAAUCGCACCAAACGUCUUUUAUGAGAAUCGAUGAUUCUUUUCACCGCUAGAGACACAACAAACACGAGAUUAAACUAGCCCUCGUGUGUUUUCGUGUCGAGGGGUGGAGGCCAGGGUCACGAUAACGCAUUGUGCAGUGGUCGUGUCGCCGUUGCAGUCCCAAACAUGGCCAAAGUUUCUUCUUCACCUAUGAUGAGGUUAAUGUAUUGAAUUAGGAGCUUUAUUAGUCUGGGGUUAAGGGAAGGUCAUGGCGCUACAGGAUUAACCUGGAGAAUGCAUAUAGCAAGUGUACAUCACCAGCCAUAUGCAUGCAUGAUAGUGAAUCACAAACUUUUUUUGUGGAAUGUGAAGGACAACCAUUAGAAAGGUUGAAGUAACCAUGAUGAGUCUAUGACAAUGGUGGUGCUCAAUACCACAAUUAGAUUCAUAUAGAUAUACAUAUUGUAGCUUGAUUCAUAAUAUUUUUACUCAUACUGAGUGUGUUCCUUCUAGAAACGCGUGCAGUGCCACAAUCUUACCACACACCAACAACAUCCUCCCUACUCAUGCCAUUUGUAUUAGGACUUCCUGUGACACUCAUGUUCUCACACUUUUUUUAUGCACAUAAUGUCCCAUGUUACUAAUUGUUCUUGCACCUAUUUUAUUUUUCUAAUAGAAUACUAUUUAACAGUUAAAAAAUCUAAAGAUUGGGUUCAAGUUCAAAAUAUUUACUUAAAACAAAACCAAAGUGACUUAUAAUUUAAAAAGAAAAAAAGUAGUAGUUUCAACGAUACAUUGCCAAAUUAUCUUCCUCAUGUUGCUAGGUGAUGUAGUUGAAAGUUAACUAGUUAUCGAGUAACAAGAACACGUGGAUACCAUCAUGCAUGUAUGAAGGUUUCCAAUAAUUCAGGGCCUACUGUAGCCAUCUCUUGUUUUCACCACACGUCCACACUCGAGCAGUUAACCUGAUGAACACGACUAAUUGAUUAUGACGUUCUCAUCACUACAGGAUAAAUGAACCUUUACUCUCACUAGAGUUAAAUUGUUCUCAGGACAAGAUAAAUAGUCAACAUCGAUCCGUUAGAACAAUUUUCAAACUAUCGAUAAAAAAGUUACUAGCUAGCUAGGCGACAAACGGAUUACACGCUUUGGUAGUAUACCAAAUACUGUACGUGCAAAAUGUUUGCUUUCUAUCGUGGUGGGAAAGAUGAAACUAGUAAAACCUGCGGUGAUGCAACGAAUCCGUGCUAGAUCCAAUGCGAGCUGGUGACGGCCGUGGCAACCGAUCGUGGAUCUGUCCAUGCCGUCCUGUCGGUUAACUGUCCGGUGACAGGGAAUUCUCGGGACCAUUCCACUGGAAUGGACUCCGCCGCCCGCGCCUCCUACAGGUCACCAGGGGCCUUUGCGUCCAAACCCAGCACCGCACCCCCCGAGCCCCGGGGCUCCCAGCAGAGAGCAGACUCCACCCAGCCAAAACGGCGGCCGUUCGUUUCCGAGCUGCAGCUUCGCUCCGGGCUCCGGCUGUCCCUGCGCGGCAGUUCUUCUCCCUGUCUCUACUGCCGCCAUGCAUCUACCGUGCGGCGGGCCUGCAAAUGCUGGCGCGGAGGCCAUGUGGCCGGAGUCGACAGCCAAUGUGGUAGGGCGCCGGCCGCCGGGCCGGGCCGGGGCUGGCUGCUCUGCUGCCUGCUGGUGGUCCAUGUGCUGGUAGGCUACUAGCCACGAUUUGCACUGAAAGAUUCCAUCGAGUCUCGUCGUCCAGCGCAUGAUGCUCCAUGGGUUUAUCAUCCCAUGUGGAAAUAAACUAGAUGUAUUCCUGUCUUAUUUUAUGUAUUCGUCGUAUUGCUUCAUUAUUUUUCUAUUGGAAAAUAAUGCUAGGGUUGUGGGGGGAGAAGAUAAAGCUGUGGCUGAGGCACCGAGGAACUCACUCACUCACUCACCUUUCUUGUUUGAAGAGCAGUCGUAAUUCUAUUUAAUAGGGGUAGAGAUGGAAAAAUGCUCUCUAAUUAAUUACUUUUUGGUAAGCACAAUCAUGUCCUAAACGUCAAGAAUUUCAAGUAUGGAGGGAGUAUGUGAGGUGCUGUUGCAAUUUUGUGCUGAACCCAUUUAGUAGUAUGGUCCAAGAGCAUAGGAUUAGGAUGGUCCUCACUGCCCCCCACGAGAUGGUGGAUGCGGCUGUCAAAAUCGAAAUACUCUUUCCGUUUUUUUUAAGCAGUACAGUAUGUCACUUUAGUCUAAGGCCAAACUCUUGUAACCUUGAUAGAGUUUAUAAAAAAACAAAAAUUCAUCAACAACAUCAAAUUAUUGUAUUAAUUGUCUACGGGAUAUAUCUUGGUAUUAUAUUUAUUUUUACAUGCAUAUAUACUAUAUUUUUAAAUAAUGUCAAAAUUAAAACAACUUUACAAUUUAUGGAUUGUUUGGAUCCUCUGAAAUUUUUAUAGACUACAAUAGGGGGGGUGACAUAGCUUAUAGCUUCACGCACAGAUUCUAGUAGGGAGCAGAUGGGAUUCACUUAUCCAUUGACACUGGGAGCAAGGAGUAGUAGCUAAAUGACCAGAAUCAAUUCUCACAUGCUUCCCACCCUGCUCUCUCACCAGAAUCAACUACAAUCACUCUAUCCAAAGAAUUAAGAAGCUGGAGCUAAGAAUCAAGAAGUGCUAAAGUGAGUUCUAUCAAAUAGGCAGUAACCUGAGCUGUUUGAAUCAGCUAGAGCUUUUCUUAGCAGCCUUUUGUAAGUUCUACCUGAUCCAAAUAGGGCCUUCGGAGUUAAUAGAGAGGCGUUUCUUCUCAUUUGAUUCAAAAGACAAUGUAAUUGUGUAUGAAUGAAGGACACUAAGACAAUGUCCCUAAUUUGUCCUAAACUAGCAAAAAGUUGAUUAUUUUAGGGUGAAGGUAGUUUAAAAUUAAAUUCCAUGCUACACUACAAACUAAUAGAAUAGUAGAGUUUUCUUGAUUACUUUAGGGUGAAGGUAGCAAAAAUGUAGCUUAGUUAGGCCUUGUUUAGUUCCGAAAAGUGAAAAGUUUUCGGAACUAUAGCACUUUCGUUUGUUUGUGACAAAUAUUAUCCAAUCAUGGACUAACUAGGAUCAAAAAAUUCAUCUCGUGAUUUACAACUAAACUGUGUAAUUAGUUUUUAUUUUCGUCUAUAUUUAAUGUUUCAUUCAUGUGCCACAAGAUUCGAUGUGACGGGGAAUCUUGAAAACUUUUUGGUUUUGAAGGUGAACUAAACAAGGCCUUAGUUGAGUUUUCUUGUGGUGAAACAUACUCUAGCUAGUCCUUGACUUUGGCAACUAUUUUGCAGUAUCGGGCAUCGGCACCUGCGGUGAUUUUUCUAUCUUGUUGCCUUGUUUACUUCCAAAAAAUUUUAGGAAAUCGACAUUGUAGCACUUUCGUUUGUAUUUGACAAAUAUUGUCCAAUUGUAGACUAACUAUGCUCAAAAAAUUCGUCUCGUCAAUUUCGACCAAACUGUGCAAUUAGUUUUUAUUUUCGCCUAUAUUUAAUACUUCAUGCAUGCAUCUAAAGAUUCGAUGUGACGGGGAAUCUAAAAAAUUUUGCAAAUUUUUUUUGAGAACUAAACAAGGCCCAAAUUGAGGUAGUUGAGGGCACCAAUGACAAUUGCAAGUAAAAUAUCUUUCUCCAUAAAAAGAUUCAAGAAAAAUAUGUGAACACCUAACUUCUGACGUUGCAUACCGGGUAGCCCACUCCCUAUAUGCUAUAGCUAUCUUGCCACUGUGUUUUUCUAAUGCGGACAUGUUAGUUUUAUACAUCGGUAUCUUCACUGGUUAAGUUUAGAGUAACAUAACAUAUAAUAAUUAACUGCUAAUGGCACCAUCAAUGUACGUGGCAGGGGUUUAAAGAAAGCAUCACCACCUUUCAGCCCACACCAAAAAACUUCGCACAAAAAACAUCAUCAUAUAAUGAAUGUUAUAUAUGAUGUAAUGUUUUCAGUCCGAUCAUUCGCAUAAAAAACUUCGUCCGAUCAUUCUCACCUCGUUUCCAGCCCAUUAGGCCUGGGCAUUCGGGUUACCCGAUUUUUUCGGGUCGGGUAAUUCGGGUAAUUCAAAAUUCGGGUAAUGAAAAUUGUUACCCGAUAUUAGUCUCGAAAAAACACUACCCGCAAUUUCGGGUACCCGAUAAUUUGGGUUCGGGUUCGGGUAUUCCCGAUUUAUCCGAAUUUUCAAAAAACAACACACUAUACAAAAUUUCAAUAGCAAUUUAUAUAUAAUUUCAGCAGCAAUUUGUAUAGAAUUUCAAUAGCAUUUUGUAGAGAAUAAUAUAUUACUAUCACUUGUUCAAACAAAGAGAAUUAUGUUCUAAUAAAUUGAUAAAUUCUAAUAUUUAACUAACAACACAUGAUAAAUACAAAGAUAUAGAUAAAUAUUCGGGUAAUUCAGGUACCGGAAGAUAUUACCCGAAUUACCCAAACUAAUUUCGGGUAAUCAAAAUUACUAUCCGAAUUUAGAAUCGGGUACUGUCACACCCGGAUGUAAAAGAGCAUUCGGGUGCCAAAUCACAUGUGCGCCAGGAUCUCAAAUUCACACACAUGGACCGACAUCAUCAAUGGUACAAAACACAGUGUUCAAACGAAUUACAUAAAUGAGAGUAAAAGUACCAUUAUUACAAGCCAAAUGUUUAUCAAAGUGCGGAGGGGAAACAUAAACUAAACUGUUCCAUAAAUAAAGGGAAAACUAAACGCCGACGUAGCAGGACCACCUUGCCACAGGAAGGUCGACGGUAGAACCACACGAGCCUAACAACCAGGAGACUCAGGGUAGUCCUCAGGGAAAUCGCAAUUGUACUCCUGAUCGUCCGAGCAACCUUUAAUGAUUAUAGCAAGGGUGAGCUCAUGUCGAACUCAGCAAGCACAGACGGAAAGUAAUGACAUGCAAGGCUUAAAACAAGGUAAAGCUGACUUGGUUUGACUGCGGUAGCAUUUUAGUUGAACACUUUUAGUUAUGACUAUUAUUAGAACAACCUAUUACUAAUUAUGAGUAGCAUAAACCCAACCCUUAAUUAGUGUAAGUAGUAAUUAGCAUCUUUUAAGUACUAUCCUAAAAAUUAUAGAAGUCCAGGGAUUAACCCCAGUUAUUACCACAGGAUAGCAAUCCUGCCAUCACGGAAUAGCCAUUCCGCCAAAACACGAGGUAGCAACCUCGCCAAGGUCCAUCUCCAAGUAACCAGUGAAUCCAAUUUGCUCAUCAAGUGAGGGUCUGGGCCGCUCGUGACCGUGAGCACGGCUGAUAUAUCAGUUUUACACUCUGCAGAGGUGUGCACGUUCACUCCAAGUCGUGAUUCCCAUUUGCCCGGGGUCGCGACUCCCCAAAACACUACCAAGGUGAGCAGGCAGGGUUUCACUACGAGACCUUUCACAGGGUCCAACUAAUAAGAUGCCACUCGUAAGUUUUUGCCGGGGCGCGCGGCAGCCGUGCCCAUAGCAAUGGGACCCCGAACUGACCGACCUCUUAAUAUGAAUACCCAAGCUACAUUCCUUACGCCUACCCGGAAAGUAACACCCUACCAGUGGAGGUCCUGCUAAUUAGUCAAGCCAGAGCCCAUAUAGCUUGGAGCUGCACUGUAAGUCCCAGGGGGCCGCUCCCUGACUAAGUCCUUACGGAGAGCAGAGACGGGUACGCCCGGCAAACCGGACCACCAACGGUACCCGCUCCCCCCUGUCACCACCAUCAUCACGAUGCUCGUAAGCAUCCAUCAUCGCCAUCACCUCAGUGACCAAAGAUUCAGCACAGUUUAAGCAUCAAGUUGAGUAGAGAUUAAUACUUGUUUAGGCAUGUGUAUAAGAUGAGUAGAGCAGCUAAGCAGACCUAGUAUAGCCUAGUCUACCCAAACACAUAACCCUAGGUGAGCAAGGAAUAAUAAGUAAAGCUAGUCAUGUCCUUAGGGUUUGCAUUCAUUGGACACAUGCAUAUAAAGUAAAUGACAUUAAUGAGUAGGUUCAAAAUGAUCAAACGGUGUCUGCACUUGCCUUGGUCGAAGUCGGGUUGCUCUAACUCAGCGGGAUCCUGAACCUCUUCCUUCACGAACGUCUCGUUGGCUAUACGCGACAAUCAUCAAUCAUAGGAACAAUACAUGCAAGCAAACAAACUUAAUUAGAAACAGUACACCAAAGCAUGCGAAAACAGAAAGCAACUGCACUACUGCAUUCUACUCGACGAAACGAAACUGUAGCGACCAGAAUCACCUAAAUCGGAGUUACGAUGCAAAAGUUAUGGCUAAAACAAGUUGAAUGGCAUUUCUGCAGAUAAACUGAACUAUUUUUCGUAAUUAAAACUGAAUUAAAACUCAUUUUGGAUUAAAUACAUAAAUACCAACGGAUGCAGGGGCUAAACUGUAAAAGCAGGGGCAUAUUUUAAAUGAAAGUAUAACUGAGUUGGAUCGCGGGUUAAAUUCGAAGAAAUGCGAGGGCCUUUUCGCAAAAAGGCCAGGGAAGCGCGGGCUGGCCGGUCCACAGCACAGUGCGGUGGACCGGGCGCGGGGCAGGGUGGCCGCGGUCCAUGGUGGACCGCGCCUACGGAGCGGCGCCGGCGGGUGCGUGAACCCGGUCCACGUGGACCGACCGCACGAGGCGCUGGGCCGCGGUCCACCGUGGACCGCGCGCCGGUGCAGGGGCGGGUGCGUGCGCAGGGGCGCCGGCGGGCGGCGGUGGCGCCAUGGGCGCCGCCCGGAGCUUCGGCGGCGGUGCUGCAGGGCACGGGGGAGCGUGCCGAGGGCGUUGGCGGGGUCGGCACGACGAGGCGAACGCGAUGGGACUCUCACCUUCGCGAAACGUCGACGGCAAAGAGAAGCCCGACGGCGGCGGCGCGAGCUAGGCGAGAAGGGCGCUUAGGGCUAGGGUUUCGCGGCUGGGGCGUCUAGGGGUGCGUGCGGGCGAGCUGCGGCGCUUCUUAUAGGGCGCUGCGAACUUUGGUUCGCGUGCGGGGCACGGAAUCCCGAGCGGAGGCGGCGGUUGUUGCUCCCGUCCGAUUCGGACGGAGCUCGGGGAUGACAGGUGGGUCCCACCUGCGGGACCCACGCGUCGGCGGCUGCGGGUGGAGGGGGGGCUGGGCUGGAGCGCGCAGCUGCUGCGGCUGGGCCGCUGCCCAUUUUUUUUUAACAGAUUUCUCCUAUAUUUUGUUUUCUUGCAACAAAAUAAAAACCAAGGCAACCAAGCACUAAAUAAAUCAAGCAAAAACAAUGCAACGGCAUGAAUGCAGGAAAAACAUGUUUCUACCCUUAUAUUUAAUUUUAUUUAAUUUUGUAAAUUAUUUAAUAUUUCCCAAAAAUUCAAAUUGAGCCAAAAAUUAAAUCAAAUUUAAACUAAAUUUGAAUUUCAAAAAAAUUUGGAGUGUUAUAAACCUCGGGUUCGGGUAAUUCGGGUCCGGGUCCGGGUUAUUCGGGUACGGGUAAUUUGCCCAGGCCUACCGCCCAUGCAUCAGCCCACACGUGACACUUUCAAACGGAGUCUGUGUGCGUCCGCAAGAGAAGAGUUUGUUUAUUUGUGUAUUCUAUUAAUUGAUUUGCGUACAUAGCGUUUUUUUCAAAAUAAAAAAAGUUAUAACUACUAAUCCGAGUAUCUAAACUAGAUUCUGAUUAUACCAUUAAAUUUUUUAUAAUAAAUCCUUUAAAACAAGACCCCACAUGAAUAUAUUUAGAUAAAAUUUUAUUAAUAAACAUUUGUUCUAUAAAGAUAGAAUAUUCUUUUAAUAUUGAACAGAUGUGAUGUUCUAGAUUAAAAAUAAUGUUCCUCUUUACAAUAAAAAUGUUCAGGAUUCUAAUUUUAGUUUUAUGGAAUUAUAAUAUAUAAAAUAAAUAUAUGACAUAAAUAAAAAAUAAUUAAAUCUAGAGCAAAGCAUAAGAAAAAAUUAAAACACGUAAUAGAGAAAAAAUUCAAAGAACAUCAUAAAAUAUACCUAGAUAUACCUAGAACAUCGUAUAUAUUACUAAAUACAUUAUAAAACAUCGUAUAUAUAUAUAUAUUACAAAACAUCAUUAAAUACAUCAUAAUGUUAUAUAUAUAUAUUAUAAAACAUCAUUAAAUACAUCAUAAAACAUCACAUGUGUACUAAAUGAACAUCACUAAAUACACCAUAAAACAUUGCUAAAUAUAUUAUAGAACAUUGUAUAUAUAUUACAAAACAUCACUAAAUACAUCAUUAAACUUCACAUGUGUACUAAGUUAACAUCACUAAAUGCACCAUAGAACAUCACUAAAUACGUUAUUGAACAUUGCAUAUAUACUAUGUGAACAUCACUAAAUAUAUCAUGAAACAUCACAAAAAACAUCAUAAAACAUCAUCAUAUAUACCACGAGAAUAUAAAAAAUAUCACAUGUAUAACGCGGGAACAUAAGAAAAAAAAUGAUAUCACUUACAUACUACAUGAACAUAAAAAAACAACAUAUAACAUUAUAAAAAAGUCAUCAUAGAACAUAACAUCUACGCUAUAUGAAUAUAGAAUCUCAGGAAUAUAGAAAAUAAAAAAUUAAACAUGAAAAAAAUAAUUAAGUAAUGUAAAAAUGAAAAAUGAAAAAAAGUCUAUUCAAAACAUGUGAGCUUGUUUGCUCGCCUGAAAAGCCAUGGUUGAAAAUAUUGUUCGUUGAUUUAUUGCGAGAAAAAAAACAUUGUUGACUGGCAAAAAAAAUAUAACUUAUAAAACAAACGAACGAGAUGAUAAAAAGAAAAAAAUAAAAAUACAAAAAAAAUAAAUCUAAAUAUAUAAACAAGCAAAAUAAUUAGUUAUAGUAAUUGUUUGUUUAUAUACUACAUGAACAUUAUAGCAUCUCAUAGGAUACAAAAAUAAAAGAAAAACCAUGAAAAAAUAGUUAAUUAGCUAUGAUAAAAUAGAAAAAAAUUAUUGAGAAGUCAUAAGGACAAAAGAGAAAAGGAAAACAAAGAAAGCAAAAAAAAUAAAAAAAAACAAAGAAAAUAAUUAAUGAUAGUAAAACCACAAAAGAAAUAAAAUAUAAAAACACAAAAAUGAAAAUAAUAAAUUAAAAUCACAUGAAACAAAUAAAUUGAAGGAUGGAAAAACUAAGAAAAAGGGAAGGAAAAAAAGGAAAAGAAAAGAAAAGAAAAGAAAAGAAAAGAAAAAGAAAGAAAGAAAUAUAGAUAGAAUAAAAAAUAAAAAUAAAAGAAGCAUGAAAAUAAAAAAGGAAAAAGAAAAAAGAAAUGAGAAAAAUAAAAAAAGAGAAACUUAGACCAAGAUGGAAGUUUCGUGUGAGUUUCAUUUACAUUAAAUUGAUUGCCACAUAAGCUUUUUUGAUGAUAUGACGAUGUAUUUAAGAAGAGAGAGAAGAAAUGAGUUUCAUCUAGAUGAAACUCUCUUGGCACGAUUAUCAACUCUCUAUGAGUCUUGCAAUUAAAUGACUAUAAAGCUAUGAAAUGAAACUCUCCAUUAAAAGUGAGUGUUUGAUUCAAGUUUUAUUUCAUUUCACAUGACAUGAUAUUUUUGAAAACAACGCUAUAAAAACUCUCCACUGAGACCGGCCUUAUACCGUCGCUUUCCAGGAUGGGUGUCACUUUCCAAGAUACUCCCUCUGUCUUAGAAAAGUGUUAUUUUAGAUUUUUUGUCACAAAUUUGAUUUGAUUUGUAAAAAGUACGUGAAAUAUUUAUUUUUCUAAAUAAAUUUAUUAAUAAACUAGAUUUAAAGAUCUUUUUAAUAAUAAUUAUAUAUUGCAAUUAUUAAUAUUUUUUAUUAUAUAUUUAGUUAAAGUUAUUUUUCAGAAACCGAAAAUGACACUUACGAGGUACCUGCACUUUUGACUUGGGUGUUUGGGACUGCUCUGCUCUACGUUUUUCAGCUCCGCUCCAUGUUUUUUAGCCAAACAGUUUCAGCUUCACGAACUCAGUUCGAGAAAAAAAGAGUUGAGUUGUGAGAGCACCUAAAAAGGUACUCCACAAACUCUAGUUUUUUUAGCUCCCAAACACCCCCUUACUUCUGCGGAGCUGGAACUGUAGUAACAUGGGACUAGGGCCUUGUUUACUUAAAAAAAUUUGCAAAAUAGGAAUAGUAGUACUUUUGUUUGUAUUUGACAAAUAUUGUCCAAUUAUGGACUAAGUAGGGUCAAAAGAUUCGUUUCGUCAAUUCCGACUAAACUGUGCAAUUAGUUUUUAUUUUCAUCUAUAUUUAAUACUCCAUGCAUACGUCUAAAGAUUCGAUAUAAUGGAGAAUCUGAAAAAUUUUUGGAAACUAAACAAGGCCUAGUACUUGGCAAGCGGGAACUGCUGUGAGAUUUACACGGAAACCAUCCACAGGCGCACACACCCGGCGCACGGGGACGCGGACGGAGCCGGCUCGCUCCGGCCCGCGUCGGCGUCACGAGAUGCCACACGGGGGGUAGCGCCGUAAUCUCGCGUCCGGGAGAUACCGGGCCCGCCGGCAGGGAAGGAAAAGCGAGACACCAGUCACGGACGGCUUGUCUUGCUCUUGCAUGCACCACGUAAUGCCCCCGCGGGCCCCGCCCACCCGUCGCGGUAGCACAUGGGACGCGAGACCACCAGAUCCUCUGCGCCGCUGCUUUCCGCACGCACUUGCCGCGUGCAUGUGCAUACGCAGAUAGUACGGUAGAAGAAUAAAACAUUUCUUCAAAAUCUGUGGGCCUCAUCAAAUGGUUAAUGUAGGAAUAGACGUGUUCCUUGAAAAAUGCUGGUAGUAACUUAUUCUUUUUUCCUUAUACGAGGAACCUAAAAUUCUUACUAAGGUAACGAUUAAACAAAUUAAAUCUUUAUAUGCAUGGUUUCUUAAGACACUAGUACAAUUUGAAGUGAAUUUUAUAUAUCACGGUCACGGCACGUCUUGGUCAGGAAAGGUUAUUCUCUCAGUGGAAAAUGUGUUAGCGUGCAAGAAAACACCAGUACGCAUACAUCUACAAAGCGGAUCGACAUUAUACCCCGCCCCGGGAAACCAAUCAAAGUUCUCACAUCGAAAGCGUUUAUAUUCCAAAAAAUUCGUCACGUCUCAUCAACAGCGCCCCCGGAAUAUAAUCUCCUCCCCUGGACUUCGGAUCUUUUGGAUCAGGCGCCAACGAUUCCGUGGCCACCCCGUGUGGCCGCCUGUGCGGGAAGCAGGUCGGCCGGCGGGCCCCGCCAAAUGGUUCUCUCCCGUUCUUCUUCCUCCUCCUCGACGUUUUUCUUUUCGAAUUUGCCGCCGGCCAUGGCAGUGGACCGUCAGGAAAAAGCAAAGCAGCGAAAGGAAGCCAGCCAAGGGAAGGGGGAAAGUGUUGUUGUGUUUAUCACUCCUUUUUCUUCCUUCCGCGGCCCACUCGCAAAAGGCUGGAUUUUACUCUCUUUCUGCGACGAGGGGACGCUUCCACAUCUCGCGUAUUCGAUUCGCUCUCGCGGUGCUUGAUGUUUAUUUGUGCUCCUUCACCAGUAUAGAAAAAGCUUGGAGCUCUGCUCCACCUCCACAUGGUGAAAUGAAACUGGGGAACAUUCUGCGAAAUCUGCAUGCUAAUAGAAAGCAGAAGCAUAUGUCAAUACCUAGCAGCGACUUAAUUAGAUCGAAGUCCUUGGUUACAACCGAGCUAGAUUUUUUAGGGGACAUAACUAUUAUUAAUGUUUAACACUUAUAGCUACCAAAAGUUAGUUAUAUUAAUUUACACACAUUUUCGUUUUGUUCGUUUUCCAAUAUAAUAGACAUAUAAAUACUAUGUAAUCUCUAUCUGGUUAUGAUAAAUUUAUCAAUUUACUAACCUAUACUUUUUUUUAAUUUCAUAUCCAUACUAUAGUUUACCUUUUGUCUGGCACCUCCAUGAAUCUUUAGUGUGUCUUUUUUUGGUUGAAAUAUUAGCUUGUAUUAUGAUUGGCUUAGUUGCAGUCUACAUGACAUCAUGAACCUAUUCUGAUUUUUCCUAGAUUCUGAUCCUAUUACUAGUUUCUACAAGUUUUAUCCUCAAAUUUUCAUAAGAUUAUAGAAGUAUUUAUAUGUAGUUUUGAGGAAUAUUUUAGUUUCUUUUUAUAAUGGGAUAUGUGGAUAAUUUAUAUAAAUCAAACAUGUUGCUUUAUAUUAUAUAUUUCACAAUGACAUAUACAGAUAAUUUAGAUGCCAAUUUAUAGGCUAUUUUACAUUAUUUUUCAUAAUGAUAGAGGUUGGUAAUUUAUGUUCAGAUUUAGAGGGUUACAUUGAAUUAUCUUCCAUAAUGCUAAUUUAAAUUCAAAUUUAGAGGAUUAUUUUAGUUUUCAUAAUGGUGGAUGAGUAAUUUAGAUGCAAGUUUUUAGGGUAGUUUAUGUAUUUUCAUAAUGAUACUGGUGGGGAAUUUAUAAAAUAAAAUAGAUUAUGACGGUUACUAAUGAAGAUGAUGAUUCAUAUCUACUCACUUUAUUCUAAACUAUAAGAUGUUUUAGUUUUUCUAGAUACAUAGUGUUUUAUAUGCACUUAGAUAUACACUUUGGUUAAAUAUAUAGCAAAAAGCAAUAUAUUUCGAAAAAGCCAAUGUCUUAUUAUUUGGAGAAGAGAUAAUACCAAAUUAAAGACUAUACAUUUCUUAUUAUUUCAGAACUUUUGGAAUUUAUCAUUUCAUUAGCACGUGUGGUGAUGUGAUGACUAGUGUAGUCGCCUCUAAUUAGGAAGGGGCUGCUUGGAUCCUUUAAUUUAGAGAAAUUGAAAUCUACUUAAAGAAUUAGCGCAGAAUGACACUGCAGCUAAUGUUUUGUCCGAGUUCCAAAAUUUGGCUGACAAUGCAGCUGGCAUCGAAAUCACUUUCGUGAAUAAAAACUGGAUUGGACAGCUGAAAGAAACUGUGCUUAUCUACGUUCAUACCGCGCGCGCACCACACACACAGGGUCACCUUGUGUCCUUAAACCUAUAACCAUCUUUCGGCUAACCUAGCCUCCUCCGUCCCUCCGUACCAACAAGGGUUAGUACAGGAAUAUUGACCUGUUGUCCAUCGACUACGCCUUUCAGUCUGAUCUUAGGCCCUGACUCACCCUCCGUGGACGAACCUUGCGGAGGAAACCUUGGGUUUUCGGGGCAUUGGAUUCUCACCAAUGUUUUCGUUACUCAAGCCGACAUUCUCGCUUCCGCUUCGUCGACCCCCGCUUUCGCGUUUGCUUCCCUCUAAGGCGGAACGCUCCCCUACCGAUGCAUUUUGACAUCCCACAGCUUCGGCAGAUCGCUUAGCCCCGUUCAUCUUCAGCGCAAGGGCGCUCGAUCAGUGAGCUAUUACGCACUCUUUAAAU
rnacentral:lncRNA from 1 species